CCUGCUGGGCUUUAACUGACGCUGAGGCACGAAAGCAUGGGUAGCAAACAGGAUUAGAUACCCUGGUAGUCCAUGCCGUAAACGAUGAUUACUAGGUGUGGGGGGACUGACCCCCUCCGUGCCGCAGUUAACACAAUAAGUAAUCCACCUGGGGAGUACGGCCGCAAGGUUGAAACUCAAAGGAAUUGACGGGGGCCCGCACAAGCAGUGGAGUAUGUGGUUUAAUUCGAAGCAACGCGAAGAACCUUACCAGGUCUUGACAUCCUAAGAAUCCGACAGAGAUGUUGGAGUGCCUUUCGGGGAACUUAGAGACAGGUGGUGCAUGGUUGUCGUCAGCUCGUGUCGUGAGAUGUUGGGUUAAGUCCCGCAACGAGCGCAACCCUUGCUGUUAGUUGCUACGCAAGAGCACUCUAACAGGACUGCCGUUGACAAAACGGAGGAAGGUGGGGACGACGUCAAAUCAUCAUGCCCUUUAUGACCUGGGCUACACACGUACUACAAUGGCCGUCAACAGAGGGAAGCAAAGCCGUGAGGCAGAGCAAACCCCUAAAAACGGUCCCAGUUCAGAUUGCAGGCUGCAACUCGCCUGCAUGAAGGUGGA
rnacentral:rRNA from 1 species